GGAGUCUAGGUAGCCUGCUACAACACUGCCUAAAAGACUGAAAGUGAAAGUAAAUUGGAAGUAGUGCUGCUGCUUCCCAGCAUCUGCAGAGUUUAUUGUAAGUCACAUGGUGGUGGGCUGAGGCGGGGUCUGUAUAUAAAGACUGAGACGCUGCAGAACAGCAAAACAUGAAUCCGCCAGAACAACAGAACACCGCGAGCCCUUCAGGUGAAUGGCCCAGAGUAAAGAUCUUCCCAUUCCCCACUGGACAGACAUUUGGUGCCCAUGAGGCAAUAAUGGAAAAAAUGAAGAAUAACAAAAACUACGGGCUAAUCUCCUGGCUAACGUCCUGGCAGACCCCUACACUUGAGGAAAAACAAAGUCCAGAGGAAUCUUCGGUCGUCAUUGUCUUUUGUCCAAUCACCUUAUGCGUUGGGUCAGAUGUGGAAUCAGCAAUGACAAAUCCAAAAGUCUCAUCACUGGAUAAACCAGUGAUUCUGGUUCUGAUGCAUCACACCAGAGAUCCUGACUAUUCAACUGCAGGAACAAAAUGGUCUGAAAUGUAUAAAAAUGUUGAGCUGGAUGUUCAUGUUCUCUUCCAUGAGACAGUACCAGGAUUACUGACUUGUCAACAAAAUGAUCAGGCAAUCGAAGCCAUUAAGAAAAAGUUGUGUGACUACUCUACUUGGUCUUUUGGUUCCUCUAAUCUCGUCAAGAGCAAUCAUACCCCAUCCUAGAAUGUUUACUGCAGAAAAGAGUCAAAUGUGUGAUUCUGCCCCAAACAGUUGAUUUUCCCAGUUGCUUUGAGUUGUUUUGCAGUCUUAUGUCACUGUUAAUAUGAAAUUAUAAUAAAGUAAAGACGUCAUUUGUUUGGUGCUUACAACAAAUGUAAAAAAACUGGUAAUUAAUAGUAGUAUUAACCAGUUUUUAUACCAUAUUUAAAGCUUUGAACCGCUUGUGCAAAAGUUCUUGUAUCUUGAAUUAGUGACAUUUUAAUAUCAGUGAGAAAUGCCUGGAAAAGGCCGACUGGACCUCUGCUUAAUUUAUGUUUCCCUGUUACUUGUGUGUGUUGUGAGGCUUUGUUUUUAAAGAAGUGUAAUUAUGGGAAAAAUCUGAAGGCAGUACAAACUCUCUAACUCCACCUGUAAAGUUUCAAAAAGUAUAAUAAAGUUGGAAAUUGUCGUAAGCUUUUUAACAGCUUUGGAAUAAAACAAAAAAAAUCAUGGGGAACACCACACCUUCUUUUCCGUUGUAAGAGCAACUAAAAACAUUUCAAUUACUCUCAAUGUACUUUAUGGUACAUCCAAAUGCCAUAAAUUGUGUAAAUAACUUAUUAGUUCAAGAGAAUUGUUGUACAUCCAUUCCAUGCUAACUGUAUUGUAUGGAGAGCCAUAUGUAAAGCCAUUUCAGCCAAAAUUAGAUAAGUAAAUAAAUAAAUGGGUACUUGG